CUAUGUUAAUUAGUACAUAAUUUUUGGAUUACCCCUACCUCCAGUUAUCAUCCCAAAAUAAACACCUAAAUCACGCCGUCGCCGAAAAUCGCCCAUGGCGGCGACCCACCUCCAAAUUCCACCAAAUUAUCAUCCCGAAAUCCCCUCUUCUACAUCAUCUCAAAUCCACAAUCUCUUUCCUUCAAAUCCCAUCAAAACGUCUCGAAUAUUGGAUCGAAACUUUUCCGGUAAUGACACCACCGCGUCCAAAUGACACCAAAUUCACACCAGGUGUUCACCUCCCUCCCUACGUCACGAAUCCAUGCCUAUUUCACCUCAAAUGUCCCUCAAACUGUUUGAAUUUUGAAUCGAACUCUGACUCCAAAACCCCUAGUUCAUUGGCUUGGUCCCAAAUUAACGCCCUACGGUUACAUUGCCUUCCCCAUACGGAAUCAUGUGUCAGAAGGUUCAAAUGUCAUCGCAAUGGUUCAAGCAUCAAAUUGAUAGGCGUCAGAUCGUAGUAGUAAGUUUCGAAUGAAUUAGAUUUCUGUUUCUUUUUCUGAUCUCUCAUGCGUCUGUGAAUUAGGUAUGUAUUUGUGUUCCAUGAGUAAUUACUAAUAUAAGUUUUUAAAUUUCGUCAUUAGUUUUGCUUAAGUAUUUUGGGUCUAGUUCUGAUUAUUUAGUCUUAUUUAAAUCUGGUUUUGUAAUGGUUAAUAACUAGGUUAAUUUCUUCAUUUUUGCCAAGUUCUUUUUAUUUUUGGAUUUUCUGCCAUUCCUGUCUAAUUUUUUCUUUUGGGUUCCGAUUAUGUGUUAGGUCUUGACUGUGCGUCGUUGAUUUGCUUUUAGUCAUCAUGUUAAUUCUUGUUCAAUAAUGUCUUUAUAGACAUCAUUUGAGUUUUGUUAGUGUAUUAUUAAUUAAUUUUAAUGGGUUCAAUCUAGUUAGUUUAGGUUAACCAUUAGCUGAUAUUACUUUACUUCCUUGCAUGGUUUAAUUAGCUAUUAAGAAUUUAUGAUUAUAGAUUGGUACAGUUGAAUAAUAGGGAUUUAGUUAACUAUGGGGUUGGGUAAGUAAUAGUCAUUUGGUAAUUUCAGGAGAAGCUAAGGGCAAUUGAGGUAGUUUAAAAGCAAGGGAAUCUUUAAAUAACUUAAUUGGAAGCUACUAGAAUAUUCUAGAUAAGUUUCAAAUCAGAUAUUUAGUAACUUAGGGGUGUAACUUGGGUAGCAAGUCAGGGAAUAAAGGAUUAAGUAGGCAAAAAAAUGAAAAUAGCAUAGGGACUAAUAUGUAAAAAAUCUGAGGAUGCACCUUAUUUUGCCUAUGAAAAGGCAUCACCAAUGCCUUAACUCACAAGUUUUGAGCCCCAAUAUUCCCCCGAAAUUUUUUUCUCAAUCUUUGCAGAUCUAAAAUUUAGAUUCAGAUCAAAACUUCUUAUAUUUUAGCUUUCUUCAUAUAGAAAACAAAACAAACAAUAGAAAACUUUCAAAAUCCAAAAAUAACUACUAUUCCAUUAAGCAUUAGGUGAAUUUCAACUUUUAUUUGUGGAUUUACACUUUUCUAGUUCAAAUUCUACUGUAUCCAUUUCGAGUGGUUUUUGGACUUAUUUGAGUCAAUUGGGCCAGUCAGUUGGUGUAGUACUUUUGUAGUGUGUUCCGUUGUGUUUAGUGAAUCUAUUUCAAUUCAAAAUUACUCCAAUUCACUUUUACUGAGUUUCUGUUAGAGUUUCCUGGAUUUAUUGUGAAGUUGCUUUUGGUUCAAUAUAAUCCUGUUUGGUUGGUUGUUACUGUGUGAUUGCUGGUGCUGUUUUAUAAAGUAAUUCAUAAGUCUAGUUGUUGCUACCUACUACUGACUCUCAUUCUUCUCCUUCAAUUUUAAAUGCAGGUACAUGCUUCGAAUUCCCCCUGAUGUAACUAAUUAGAGUGAAAUGAAAUCUAAUUCCAGAUCUGAGCUCAUUUGAAUACUUUUUACAGUCCGUUUUUUGAUGUAGUUGUUUAGUUUUAAUUUGUGGGAUAUUGUAUUAAACUUGGACUGUUUAACUAGGAUUAUUUUUGUUGUUGAAAUUCGUAAUGGGCUCCUAUGGACUGCUAAUCUAGUUCAGCUUACUCCUAUUAGUAUGAGUACUCUGUAGUUAGCUAUUUUAAUUUAGUUUAAUUGGUGUUACUAGUUCUCUGAGCCGAUGGUCGAUUGGAAACAGCCUCUCUGCCGUUUCCGGUAGGGUUAAGACUCGUCUACAUAUUACCCUCCCAGACCCCACUUUGUGGGACUAUACUGGGUAGUUUUUGUUGUUGUUUUGUUGUUGGUGUUACUAGUAUAGUAUUAUGUGAUGUAGUUUCAUUUUUCAGUAAUGUUAAAAACAAGUACACUGCUAUCAAAGUCGAGUUUCUGAUUCCAA
rnacentral:lncRNA from 1 species